rnacentral:rRNA from 1 species
UCCUAGCUUUAUUAUCAAUUAUCUCUCAUUUAUACAUGCAAGUCUCAGCACCCCCGUGAGGACGCCCUUUUUCCCUUUAAGGUCAAGGAGCUGAUAUCAGGCACCGCCCACAACAUCUAGUCCCACCACGCCCACAAGGGUAUUCAGCAGUGAUAAGCAUUGACUAUAAGCGCCAGCUUGAUUCAGUUAGAGAGAAGAGGGCCGGCUAACUAGGUGCCAGCCGCCGCGGCUGGGCCCAAAUUGAUAACCAUCGGUAAGCGUGAUUAAAGCCUAACCUAAUUAGAGUUAAACCUUUGACCUGCUGUAAAAAGACGAAAGUUACUCUAAUCUUGAAUACACGACAACUAGGAAACAAACUGGGAUUAGAUACCCCACUAUG